AAUCCCCAAUUCCUUUUCAUACUCCAUCCUUCUUCCUCUUUACUCUUUCAUCCCAACGGUAUCAAAUCAAUCUAGCAAAGUCACACUUUCACAUCAAUCCAGCGAAGCCACAAUUUCAGUGGUGAUUAGCGGUGGUGGUUCUAAAAGGGGGGCAGAGAUUAUUUUCAUGACCAGGAGUCCAUUGCCUCAAAGGGAUCUGGGAUUGGAUGAGGAAUGCAAUCAUGACUAAAAGGUGAGGGACUUAUGCACCAUAAUGAGAGGAUCCU